rnacentral:tRNA from 1 species
UGAGGUUUUGGCUCAGUGGUAGAGCAUUUGCCAAGCAUAUGUGAGGCACUGAGUUCAAUUCUCGGCACCACAU